UGCAUUCUUAGAAGUUGCUCCUUCUGUCACUGACGAUGUCACAGAGAAACAGAAGGUUGUGCUUAGGUUCACUGAGCUGGAACAGUGCUCUGGUAUAAACAGACCUGGGACCUGCUGAAAGAGACGCGUGCUUGGCAGUAACACCACCUUGAGUUCAGACUGGAUGUACAUCUGUGCCUCAUUGAUAAUAGCAAUGACAGUCAUCUGGCAGUCGUAAGAUGCCAGCAAAGUCAUGUGUCUUCCGAGGCCACAAUGGGAGAGCUGCAAAUGCCUGAAAAGUCUUGGAAGUCCACGGGAGGACGCAUCCUCCAUCUGCAGUCAGGGCAACUGAACACAAAAUGACCAGCUAAAUCAGUGGGACCAUAAGACUGCAAAUAUAUGUCAGCAAAGAAGAAUGUGGAUAAACAGCAAUUAUGACACAGAUCUGACAAGUAAAGAAUCCAGCUGAGCCCUAGAAGUUUAUAUUUUGGCAUCUGGAUAUUUGCCAACAGCAGUGUUUCAUACUUGACACCUUACAUGGACAGGGUGUACUACUUUUAAGGAUAUUCUUAGACUAUUAUGUCCAUCUUGGCUGGCCAAUGUCCCCUCAGGGAAAGGAGGGGGUGGGAGAGAGAGAGAGUGCACACAAAUAAUGGGAACAUUAAUGAUGCUUCUUAUUAGUCAUAAGUUAUAGAAUCACAUAAUAAUUUCAGCUGAAAGAGAUUUAUAGAGACCAUCUCGUCCCAGCUGCCUGCUGGAAGGAAGGCUGGCUUCAAAGCUAGAUCAGGUCCUGUCAAAUGUUAACAGUUUCCAGGGCUGCUGAUGCUACCAGUUCCCCAGGCGCCCUUCCCAGCGCUGAACCAUUCUCACCGUGGAGCAUUUUGUCUUUGUAUCUAAUCAGAAUUUCUCCUGUUGCAAUUUUUGUCUGUUGGCACCUGUCCUGUUGCCAUACCUCUGUGAGAAGAGUUAGGAUCUGUCUUCUGUAAGUUACUAGUUUGCUAGUUGAAGGCUGUGGUUAGGUUGCCCUUCUGCUGUUUCUUCUCUGGGGCAAGCAAACUGGGCAGUAUUUGGGUUGGGUCCAGCACCACAGAUCUUUGCCUCUGCUGCAUUCCUCACCAUUGUAUCAGUAUUUCUCUUGUGUUGUUGUCCAAACUGGCCACGCGACUUUGGAUGUGGCCUCAGGUGCUGAAGGUAGAGAACAACCAACUCCUCAGACCCACGAAUGUUCUCUGGUUCACUCAACCUGGCACGCAGUUACCCUCUAUCAUUACAAGGGUGCAUUGCAGGCCCACCAUCAGCUCGAUAACCAACAGGAAAACCCAGAGCUUUUCUGUAAGGCUGCUAGGUAGCCAGUCAGGCCCAGGCCCCAUCACUGCAUUUUUUGGCCCCUCGUUAUGUUCAUGGGUCAUUUUUUAGUUUCUGGUGUUUGAUUUUCAUUUGAUUGUGUCUUUUUCUUUUUAAAGGGUACAUUCUGAGAUUUCCACAUGCUUUUAUUUAAGAAGAGAUGAGUGUAGAUGGGAAAAUUAUUUCCUGUAGUGUAUACAAUUAAUGCAACCUAUGGAAGAAAAUAACCUCGCCUGUGCAUCCUACU